GUGUUGUAUACUUGAAACUAAUAUAAGAUAAUAUAUCAACUAUACUUCAAUAAAAGAAAGUCCCUCCUGUGGAGGCACAGGGUGGUCUCCUACUGUCAGAACUCACCUCUGCUCCCUGCUCCCAGAGGGUUCGUGGUGUGGUGAGGAUACCCGGUCACUUCCCUUGGGCUUCCCUAAGCAAGCCGACACUUCCUGGCUUUCUGGGCCUGCAUGAUGCUCAGGAUAGACCCCCUCUGCCCCUGACCUCCCAGGGCAACAGCUGUCACCUUGCAGCUGAAUCCCAUGCUUCCCCUGCGUGUCCCGAGGAGCAGCUGGAGCUGGCUUCCCUCCUGCACAGGUGUGUGCAGCUUGUUUUUGCAUGCACUGCCCACAGGUUUCCCCAGCCUCUGAGGGCAGGGUUCUGAUUGGGUUCUGUGUCCACAGGUCAGUCCAGCCUGUCCAGCCAGGAAGGGCACAGCACAGCAGGGAGCUGGGGCUCGGCGGGUGUGUGUUGGGCAGCCAUCUCUCUGUGCCUUUCACGACCUCAGGGAACCUGCCUUGGGUUUGCAUGCAGCUGGUCCGUGACCCACCAGGCUCCCUGAGGCCGCUUGCUUUAUAGGGAGCUAUUGAUAAUUAGGGGGCAGGGCCAAAGGGGAAGGGUCUCUUUCCAGGGAAUUUCAUUGGACAUUAAAUGCCUUUUAGUCCUGCUCUGGCUCUAGCUGGAGGUCUGACCUGCAGGCCAAGCCUGGGACACUCAGGCUGCCCGUAUUUCAUCUUCACCAAGCUCUGGGGAAAGGAUUCCUGGACACCUGGAGAAACAGUCCCUUGGGUUGGACGGGUGCUGGAAAGGUCUCCAUGGGAAACAAGCCUUCACAGCAUGUGUGAGGACUAUCAACCAACCAAACCUCUGCUCACCUGCUGGAGUUCCCUUCAUCAGCACGUGAUUCCUUGCAGGGUGGGGAACUCCUAACUCCUCUGUUGUGUUUCUUUCCUGGCAUUUUAAAUGCCUGAAUCCACCAUAAAGAUAAAGGAUGAGAAGAAGGCCUGUUUCUGACUGGUUGACUUGUGGUUCAGACACAAACACAUCUUUCCCAGGUGA